UCUUAACUACUGACCCAAGAGGAGGGACCCUUGUGACUUCUGGAGCUAGGGGAGAAGCUUUUGAACUAACUUUUGACUAGUGUGACUGAUGGUGGUGGCUGAAGCUAAAGAACUGAUUAUAUAUCUGAGAUUUGAGUUUGAAGAAUGUGAAUUUUAAAAGUCUCCAUCUUGGUCUAGCACCCAAAAAUUGUGCACACCCACCUACACGGGCAUGCGCUAGUCAAUGACUAAUCAGAAAUAACUAACUGCCCACCUGGGCUGUCCUAAGCCAAGCUAGAGCCAACCAUUGGAUUUGUGAGACACAGGAAGUGAGGUAGGGAACAGCCUCUGGAAUUGGCGGAACUUCCUGUGGAGAGAGCUAGAGGGAGUUGGUGUUAGGGCUUGGAGAGAGAGGACGCCGGCAGACAGCUUUCCUUCAGAUCGGUCACAGGCUGGCAUCUUGAACCAUUCUGGCAACUUUGGAGGCAAUAAGAGGGAGGUCCCUUGGAGAUAAGGAACAAGCCUGAGAAUCCUGACUCAGAAGUCAGCUCCUUGCUUAUAGGGAAGGUGAUGAGGAGCUUACCAGAUACAGGCCAUCUCUCAUUCAGGAAAGUGGAGCCUUAAAUGCCUCUCAGUAUCUGCCAGGGGCAUCCAACAUGUGACUAAGGAAAUGGCUUACAUUUUAACAAAGUCUGGGACAAUACCACUUUCCUCUGGCUGUAUUUAAAGUUAGGAGGAAUUCAAAAAGUGCCUGAAUUUUUACAA
rnacentral:lncRNA from 1 species